UCUCUCUCUCUCUCUCUCCUCCCCAAAACCCCCUCAACACAACAAAAAACCGCCCCCUCUCCCCCACCAACACCCAAUCCCCCAAACCCCAAACAACUGAUUUGGGUGGCUACUACAGGGUAGUGCUGCUGAUGUUGCCAUGUGUGCCAUGUUACAAAUAUCAAAAAAUGAUCGUCUGAAGAAGCUUGGAUGGAAGUUGCUUUUGCAGGUUGAGUUCUUGUUCCUUUUUCUGUUAUAUUUCUGUUCUCUAUGUUGGCAUCAUGUUUUAUGGUACAUCUGCUCAUAUCUGAACCUCCAAUCAAUUUGUUGCUCAGUUGCUGUUGUCUAUAGAAUCCACCUUGCAUAGAUCUUGUUGCCAUUUUGUAACAGCAUACCACUCAUCUUUUGCAAUCUCAAUCAAUAGCUUUUAAAUUACUGUCCACUGUCCAUCUGUCAUAUGCAAAAUGUGGUACUCGAUUGUUGGUCAUUCGUCAUGUGCAAUUGUGAUAAUUAAUCACUGUCCAAACUCCAAGCUUGGGGUUUGUCCAAUGAUAAUCUCUUAAGUUGAAAAUUCUCUUUUUAAGUGCACAAGGUUUCUUAAUUUCAAAAUGAUCUUUGUUGUCAAAGAUUCUAUUAAAUGUAAUAAUUUCAUUUUGAAAAAUAAAUAAAUAAAAUUAGGUUUCCAGAAAAUGUUCAACAAGAAAAUUAGUCUCAAUUUUUA
rnacentral:misc_RNA from 1 species